AACGAACGCUGGCGGCAGGCCUAACACAUGCAAGUCGAGCGAACCCUUCGGGGUUAGCGGCGGACGGGUUAGUAACGCGUGGGAAUAUGCCCAAAGGUACGGAAUAGCCUCGGGAAACUGAGAGUAAUACCGUAUGUGCCCUUCGGGGGAAAGAUUUAUCGCCUUUGGAUUAGCCCGCGUUGGAUUAGGUAGUUGGUGGGGUAAUGGCCUACCAAGCCGACGAUCCACAGCUGGUUUGAGAGGAUGAUCAGCAACACUGGGACUGAGACACGGCCCAGACUCCUACGGGAGGCAGCAGUGGGGAAUCUUAGACAAUGGGGGAAACCCUGAUCUAGCCAUGCCGCGUGGACGAUGAAGGCCUUAGGGUUGUAAAGUCCUUUCAGCUGGGAAGAUAAUGACGGUACCAGCAGAAGAAGCCCCGGCUAACUCCGUGCCAGCCGCCGCCGUAA
rnacentral:rRNA from 1 species